GCACUGGUGUAGCUCAGUGGUUACUUCUCUCCUGCAGAGAUCGCCAACCUCUAUCCCUUUGUGGGACUGAACCCCGGGCACUGUCCACUGCUUUU
rnacentral:vault_RNA from 1 species